rnacentral:rRNA from 1 species
CAGCCGCCGCGGGAAAACGUAGGUGGCAAGCGUUGUCCGGAAUUAUUGGGCGUAAAGGGCUCGCAGGCGGUUUCUUAAGUCUGAUGUGAAAGCCCCCGGCUCAACCGGGGAGGCUCAUUGGAAACUGGGAAACUUGAGUGCAGAAGAGGAGAGUGGAAUUCCACGUGUAGCGGUGAAAUGCGUAGAGAUGUGGAGGAACACCAGUGGCGAAGGCGACUCUCUGGUCUGUAACUGACGCUGAGGAGCGAAAGCGUGGGGAGCGAACAGGAUUAGAUACCCCCGUAGUCCCUGUCUCUUAUAC